AGAGAGAUGGAGGAGGAGACAGAGGACAAGGCUGUUAUUUAAGUUUCUUGAUGACGUCACCAUUCUGAAAUUACUCCCACGAGAGACGGAGGAUGACGGGGAGGGAGGGCAUAUGGAGUGAUGCAUGUUCUGUAAAGCCGUCCCCUCCCCUUCCACACUAUCAUGACCCAUAACAUCUGACCCCUGACCUAAGCCUACCUUAAUGGGGGGCCAGGGAUUUCAUUGUAAAGCAAUGAACUCACCCCACUUCCCUCCUAGCCCCACAGAAAUCAGUCACCAUAGAACAUAAUAACCACCAACAUAAACACAAUCAAACUACAGAGAAAAAUAUAUUUUUUAAAUCACUGUAUUAUAGAAUAGUAAAAUAUAUUGGUCAAUAAAUGAAAAAGAGAAUGCUAGGAAUCCUAAGGUGUGUUGAUUAGCAGAACUGAGAGAAGGCUAGGAAUCCUAAGGUGUGUUGAUUAGCAGAACUGAGAGAAGGCUAGGAAUCCUAAGGUGUGUUGAUUAGCAGAACUGAGAGAACGCUAGGAAUCCUAAGGUGUGUUGAUUAGCAGAACUGAGAGAAGGCUAGGAAUCCUAAGGUGUGUUGAUUAGCAGAACUGAGAGAACGCUAGGAAUCCUAAGGUGUGUUGAUUAGCAGAACUGAGAGAACGCUAGGAAUCCUAAGGUGUGUUGAUUAGCAGAACUGAGAGAAGGCUAGGAAUCCUAAGGUGUGUUGAUUAGCAGAACUGAGAGAACGCUAGGAAUCCUAAGGUGUGUUGAUUAGCAGAACUGAGAGAAGGCUAGGAAUCCUAAGGUGUGUUGAUUAGCAGAACUGAGAGAACGCUAGGAAUCCUAAGGUGUGUUGAUUAGCAGAACUGAGAGAACGCUAGGAAUCCUAAGGUGUGUUGAUUAGCAGAACUGAGAGAAGGCUAGGAAUCCUAAGGUGUGUUGAUUAGCAGAACUGAGAGAACGCUAGGAAUCCUAAGGUGUGUUGAUUAGCAGAACUGAGAGAACGCUAGGAAUCCUAAGGUGUGUUGAUUAGCAGAACUGAGAGAACACUAGGAAUCCUAAGGUGUGUUGAUUAGCAGAACUGAGAGAACACUAGGAAUCCUAAGGUGUGUUGAUUAGCAGAACUGAGAGAACGCUAGGAAUCCUAAGGUGUGUUGAUUAGCAGAACUGAGAGAAGGCUAGGAAUCCUAAGGUGUGUUGAUUAGCAGAACUAAGAGAACGCUAGGAAUCCUAAAACGUUGGCUUCAGAUAAAAUACGUGACCUAAAUGAGUGACUAGAUUGAGAAAUUUGGUGCACACACACAUGUUUAAUGCCCCUUUUAAUAAUAA